rnacentral:rRNA from 1 species
GUAGGUGGCAAGCGUUGUCCGGAAUUAUUGGGCGUAAAGCGCGCGCAGGCGGUUCUUUAAGUCUGAUGUGAAAGCCCACGGCUCAACUGUGGAGGGUCAUUGGAAACUGGAGAACUUGAGUACAGAAGAGGAAAGCGGAAUUCCACGUGUAGCGGUGAAAUGCGUAGAGAUGUGGAGGAACACCAGUGGCGAAGGCGGCUUUCUGGUCUGUAACUGACGCUGAGGCGCGAAAGCGUGGGGAGCGAAACAGGGAUUAGAUACCCUGGUAGUCCACGCCGUAAACGAUGAGUGCUAAGUGUUAGGGGGGUUUCCGCCCCCGUUAGUGCUGCAGCUAACGCAUUAAGCACUCCGCCUGGGGAGUACGGCCGCAAGGCUG